UACGUAGGGGGCAAGCGUUGUCCGGAUUUAUUGGGCGUAAAGAGCGUGUAGGCGGUCUGUCGCGUCGGUCGUGAAAACUUGGGGCUUAACCCUGAGCUUGCGGUCGAUACGGGCAUGACUGGAGUUCGGCAGGGGAGACUGGAAUUCCUGGUGUAGCGGUGAAAUGCGCAGAUAUCAGGAGGAACACCGGUGGCGAAGGCGGGUCUCUGGGCCGAUACUGACGCUGAGGAGCGAAAGCGUGGGGAGCGAACAGG
rnacentral:rRNA from 1 species